rnacentral:rRNA from 1 species
UACGUAGGGGGGCAAGCGUUGUCCGGAUUUAUUGGGCGUAAAGAGCGUGUAGGCGGCUUGGUAGGUCUCGCGUCAAAACCUGAGGCUCAACCUCAGUUCGCGUGGGAAACCACCUAGCUAGAGUCCGGAAGAGGAGAACGGAAUUCCCAGUGUAGCGGUGAAAUGCGCAGAUAUUGGGAAGAACACCAGUGGCGAAGGCGGUUCUCUGGGACGGUACUGACGCUGAGACGCGAAAGCGUGGGGAGCGAACGAGG